CAAUUAUACAGCAAAGUCUCCUGGGAGGGUUUAUAUGUUAAGCUCUGUCAGUAAUUUCUCCCCUAGCAAGAAUGAGGAAGAUGAAGAGCUCGGGUAUCUGAGGGCUGGUGUGUCUGCAUGCGUGUGUGUUUUGGGGGCCGACUGAAGGAAGAGAAGGCUGGAGAGAGGGAACAUGGGUCUGAGGGCACAUCGCUAAGGGGUCAAGAGGCCUAAAGGAGGAGUCUAAGGCUCUCCAUCGAACUUGGACUUGGUCUACAUUAGACUUUAACCUCCAUGAGGCUUGGACUUUCAGGCUUCCUCCCUCACACCGCGGGCAGGUGAGGCGUCUGCUACAGGCCUGGUCUCGCAGAGGGGGCCCAGCGCCCCCCGCCGCCGCCUUCUCCUGGAGUCUGUGUGACAGAAUGGGACCUGUGGGAAAGCAGCACGUCAGCACCCAGCCCCGCUUGCGCGCCAGCAGCUAAUUAAAGCCAGGAAGGUGAUGGCGAUUUUCAACUCAUUCCCGUUACAAACAGCCGACCUUCCUACCGAGUUCAAGUACCUUCUGCCUGGCCUGGAAGAACAAUAUCUCUCUGUCUCCCUCUUCCACUGGCCCUCACCUGCCUUCCCCUGAACAUGCAUUUUGCCUGACAGGAGACAGAGGCAGUUGAGAUGGAGUCUUGCUAUAUGGCCCAGCUGGUAAUGCCUAGAUUCUUGAGUCCCUCCCUGGCUCAUCCCUGGGAGCAGCACUGAACCCCUUGUCUGACACCUGUCUGGAAAUGGAGCCUGCACAUUGACCCUAGAUGCUUGCAGCUUGGUCCAGGAGGCCAGCAGGACCAGAGAGAAGACCACAGCGACACAUGGGGAUGGCUGUCCCACAGGCAGAAAUGAGCAGCCGGGAGGAAGCCCAGGCAGCCAGCCACCCAGCUCCCUCCACAUCGUGGCCCUAGAACGGAGUCUUGAAGAAUAAGAAGCCACAGCUUGUCAGGGAAUCAGGCUGGAAAAAUGUUAUGAGACUGAGUAAGACCAGAGUUUCUGGGUCAUUGGUGAGACUGGAUUUCAUAGAAGAGUCUUUGCUACAGCAAAACCUCUCUUCAAGCAAUACACUAUUCAAGCUGCUGGAGGCUAGAUUGACCAGAAAAAUGGGGCCAAUAUCAUGAUUCCUCAGCAGUGCCUGGAGAAGACCAGGAGAGGAAGCAGAAGACCCUCCUCAAAGAAGCAGCCUUCACCUCCAGACCUCCCAGCGGGACUUAGACAAUGGGGUUAGGCAGUCACAUGUCUGCACGUGGAAACUUUCUGGGACUGUGCUUGGAUCCUGGCUCUGCCUUUUACUAGCCAUGUGACCUUGGGAAAAUCACUUGACUUCUCCGUGCAGGAUUCCUCAUCUGUAAAAAUGGUCUAAGAUUAGGAGCCACCUCAAGGUUGUUGUAGGAAUUAAAUUAAUUCAUGUUUAUAAAGUGCUUUGAACAGCGUUUGGCACAUGGUAAGUGCUAUGUGGUAAGUGCUGUCUAUUGAUUACAUAAAUAAAAGUGAUCACCAUUAGACUUUCCAUGCAGAUGAUAUUAUGCAUAUACAUAUCUCCCGCAUAUGACGUCAUUGGAUCGUUUUGCAAUGGUGGGGGGUUUAUUCUUUUCCUUUUUGUUUUCUUCUUUUUUUUGUCAGAUGAAGAAACUGAUGGGAAGUGAAUUGGUUUGUAUUAAACAUUAGGUUUGCUAGGUCUCUCACAUAUUUAUUUAGUCCUCAUAACAAUUGUAUAAAAUAAAUAUUAUUUAUUCAUUUAUUUAUUUGUAAAGAUGGGUCUCGCUAUGUUGCCCAGGCUGGUCUUGAACUCCCGGGCUCAAGUGAUCCUCCUGCCUUGGACUUCCAAAAUAUUGGGAUUAAAGGUAUGCGCUACUGCACCCGGCCUAAAAGAAAUACUAUUAUCCCCAUUUUACAGAUUUGUAAACAGAAGCUGACACUUCAGAGUUCCAUCCUAAUGAAAGUAGGAUGUGACAGGGGAGCAAAUCUGCUUUGCCCCUGCCCAAGGGCUGGCAGCUCCUCCUCCUGGGGUGCAUGGUGAGUGGGUACACCACUCAUCUGUAUGUACCCGGCAGAAGCUGUCAAUUCAGUUCACGUCACUCAAGUUGAAUGGAUGUAAAACACACACAGAAGCACCAAGUAAUUGCAUUGUUUUCAAAUUACUCACCUCUAGGAGAAUUAAAUGAGCAAACGGAAGAGCAGCAACCCUGAGUUACAUUUCUCAAGACACCGGGGCUCUUGAUGGCACAGCAGCAGCUUGCUAGAGCUUGGUAAAGAGACUUGGGCCUGGUACCUGAAGGGCAAUUCCUUGGCCAUGACAUUGUAGGGAAAGACCUCUAUGGGUGUUGAAAAGACAAGGCGAGGACAAGAAGAGUUGAAAAGGAGCUGUUCUGAAGCCACCUGGCUGUGGAUGGAGGAAGCCACAUGUAGCUUAGGUAGCCUGCUAUUGUAAUUUUUUCUGCAACUGAAGAAUUCGAAAUGGGUUUGGUGGGUAGCGAAGGGCAGAAUCUGGCUUCAAGGUGACAGAGUUUGCAUAGAGAUGGCCUUCUUGAGCAAAGGUAGUGACUCCUACAUUUUUUUUUUUUGUAGAGUUGUGAUACCCAUGAGUUAGUCAGCUUGGGCUAUCAUAACAAAAUACCACACAUUGGUUGGCUUAAACAACAGAAAUUCAUUUUCCUGUAAUUCUGGAGGCUGGAAGUCCAAGAUCAAGGUGACGACAGAGUUGGGUUUCCUCUGAAGCCUCUCUCCUUGGUUUUCAGAUGGGUGUCCUCUUGCUGUCUCUUCAUGUGACUGUCCCUCUGCAUGUGUGCCCCUGGGGACUCUUUCUUAUCUUAUAGUGACACUAGUUCUAUUGGAUUGAAGUGUACCCAUACGACCUCAUUUAAACUUAAUUACAUAUUGUAAGGCCCUAACUUCAAAUACAGUCACAUCCUGAGGUACUGUGUAUUAGGGCUUCAACAUAUAAAUUUUGGGGCAAUCCAGUUCAGCCCAUAAAAUCCCUUUUUGGUUGCUUGAUUCUGUUUAUUUGGUGUCAUGCCUUCCUUUUCCUAAAGAACUUCAUGAAUAGAAUUACUUUCUAAGUGAAAGGAACAAAACUGAUUUUUAUUAAAAAUUAUUUUGAGAUGCUUGUGACAAAUUUUGAAGUAAGUGAAGAUUUUCCUGGAGCUUCUACAAAAUCCUGGCUGAGAAUCCCUGCUUUCUGGACAGUUGAGAAGGAAAUACACUUAGUACAGCUGUUAGAGAGAUAUAGUUGCAACCACUGAGUGCUUAUUAUCUGCCAACUUAAAUAUAUUGCCCAAGGGAAUAACAAAUAUUCUAGUGUUCUUGUUAAGUAUAUUGUCUAAGGUCACACAGCUCUUAAACAACAGCUUCAGGAUUUGAACCUGGAAUCUAUCUGACUCCUAAGUCCAGAUGCUGUUCACCACAUUAGGUUGAAGCAUGGCCAGUGUUCAUAACAUACAACUAUGUCUCCAUAUCUUUUGCUAACCAAUGUUCUUGUAUGUGCAUACCUUACAGGGCAGCCAUUCACCACAAGCCCUACUAGAUGGCUUCCUGUAAUAAGGGUAGAACAGUAGUACUCUCCUUUUGAGAAGUUAUUUGUAAUUUUGUUGGUGGGCUGACAUUUAGGCCCUGCUCUCCAGCCCCAGAGGGGAUCCCAUAACCUAGAUCAGGCCAAUGAUGAUUAUCUCCGUGACUGUAGUGGCUGGUCCAGCGGGGAGGGUCAGGCAGGUAAGCUGGCCCAACCUGAGUCCUUCUUGAGGAUUUUAGAAACUGAAGGUAGGAGAGAAAAAUUCUCUCUUUUCUUCUGGGGAACGGGAUGAAGGUGGUGGGUAGGCAGAGCUGUUGGGAUGUGGAUCCAGGGAUUCUGGAAGUCCUGUCCUCCACCAUGUAAAGAAUACAUCCUGCAGAAGGAGAGAAGGGAGCCAGCACACAGAGAAGCAGAGUCAGGAGAUGGAGAAGGAGAAUCCUGAGAGCCUGAAGGUCCCUGGGUCCAGCCAUUGUCAAGGCCGAGUUCUACCGUCCUUAAGUUGUUUACCUUUCUUUCUUGCUUGCUUCUGUUAGAAGAUGAACACUCAAUGAAAAAUCACCAAACAUCUGAGGAAAGCCAUCAAAAUGAAAUAAACGAAACACACAAGUUCCUAAACACAAGUGAACAGCGUGGGCUGGGUUUUUGUCGCUUGGAACUGGAAACGCUGACGAUAAUGCUGACCUCUGAGCAGACCCACGUGAGGGGCAGCUGUGGUGUGGUGUGAUGAUGCUGGGAUAGGCACUCAGAUGGUUGAGUCUGAGUUUGGCUCUGAUAUUAUAUCAACUGCAUGGGCAGCUGUGGUGUGGUGUGAUGAUGCUGGGAUAGGCACUCAGAUGGUUGAGUCUGAGUUUGGCUCUGAUAUUAUAUCAACUGCAUGGGCAGCUGUGGUGUGGUGUGAUGAUGCUGGGAUAGGCACUCAGAUGGUUGAGUCUGAGUUUGGCUCUGAUAUUAUAUCAACUGCAUGGGCAGCUGUGGUGUGGUGUGAUGAUGCUGGGAUAGGCACUCAGAUGGUUGAGUCUGAGUUUGGCUCUGAUAUUAUAUCAACCGCAUCAUUUUGGGGAAGACACAAUUUCUCAGAAUUUUAUUUAGUUGUAAAAUAAAGAUAAUGAUAUUACAUGCUCUGUCUACCAUCUAGAGUUUUUGUCAAGACAAAC
rnacentral:lncRNA from 1 species